rnacentral:rRNA from 1 species
UACGUAGGUGGCAAGCGUUGUCCGGAAUUACUGGGUGUAAAGGGCGUGUAGGCGGGUCUGUAAGUCAGGUGUGAAAUUCAAGGGCUUAACCCUUGAACUGCAUUUGAGACUGCGGAUCUUGAGUGAUGGAGAGGUAAGUGGAAUUCCUAGUGUAGCGGUGAAAUGCGUAGAUAUUAGGAGGAACACCAGUGGCGAAGGCGACUUACUGGACAUUAACUGACGCUGAGGCGCGAAAGCGUGGGGAGCAAACAGGAUUAGAUACCCUGGUAGUCCACGCCGUAAACGAUGGAUACUAGGUGUGGGGGGACUGACCCCUUCCGUGCCGGAGUUAACACAAUAAGUAUCCCACCUGGGGAGUACGGUCGCAAGAUUAAA